CCUAGUAACCGCGAGUGAAGCGGGAAAAGCUCAAAUUUAAAAUCUGGCAGCCUUUGGUUGUCCGAGUUGUAGUCUGGAGAAGUGUUUUCCGCGCUGGACCGUGUACAAGUCUCUUGGAACAGAGCGUCGUAGAGGGUGAGAAUCCCGUCUUUGACACGGACUACCAGUGCUUUGUGAUGCGCUCUCAAAGAGUCGAGUUGUUUGGGAAUGCAGCUCAAAAUGGGUGGUAAAUUCCAUCUAAAGCUAAAUAUUGGCGAGAGACCGAUAGCGAACAAGUACCGUGAGGGAAAGAUGAAAAGCACUUUGGAAAGAGAGUUAAACAGUACGUGAAAUUGCUGAAAGGGAAACGCUUGAAGUCAGUCGCGUCGUCCAGAACUCAACCUGGCAUUUAUUGCUUGGUGCAUUUUCUGGUUGACGGGCCAGCAUCAGUUUUGACUGUCGGAGAAAGGCCUUCGGAAGGUGGCACCUUCGGGUGUGUUAUAGCCUUGGGUCAUAUACGAUGGUUGGRACUGAGGAUCGCAGCACGCCUUUUGGCCGGGGUUCGCCCACGUACGUGCUUAGGAUGCUGGCGUAAUGGCUUUAAGCGACCCGUCUUGAAACACGGACCAAGGAGUCUAACAUGCCUGCGAGUGUUUGGGUGGUAAACCCGAGCGCGCAACGAAAGUGAAAGUUGGGAUCUCCGUCGCGGAGAGCACCGACGCCCAUACCAGACCUACUGUGACGGAUAUGCGGUUGAGCAUGUAUGUUGGGACCCGAAAGAUGGUGAACUAUGCCUGAAUAGGGUGAAGCCAGAGGAAACUCUGGUGGAGGCUCGUAGCGAUUCUGACGUGCAAAUCGAUCGUCAAAUUUGGGUAUAGGGGCGAAAGACUAAUCGAACCAUCUAGUAGCUGGUUCCUGCCGA
rnacentral:rRNA from 1 species